UGAGGCAACCAGGUGUCACUAAUUGCCAGGGAGUGAGCAUGAGCUUGUGUCAAGCCCACCUGUGCUCAUGCGCAGUGGGGGCCCACCCUAAUUAGGCACAGGUGGGCUUGACACAAGCUCAUGCUCACUCCCUGGCAAUUAGUGGCACCUGGUUGCCUCAUUUCACU
rnacentral:pre_miRNA from 1 species